rnacentral:lncRNA from 1 species
GACCCUCUUUGUUGCAUUCUGGAUUGCCUUAUGCAAGGAACAGUCAAUGCCAGGUCCAUCUCCCUUCAAAACUCUCUGAAAUCAAGUGAUAUUGGGUCUCUGAGCCCAAGCCAAGGCACUGCAUCCCCUGUGACUUGCACGUAUAUGCCCAGAUGGCCUGAAGUAACUGAAGAAUCACAAAAGAAGUGCAAAUGUCCUGCCUCGCCUUAACCGAUGACAUUCCACCACAAAAGAAGUGAAAAUGGCUGGUCCUUGCCUUAAGCGAUGAUAUUAUCUUGUGAAAUUCCUUUUCCCGGCUCAUCCUGGCUCAGAAAGCUCCCCCACUGAGCACUUUGUGACCCCCACUCCUGCCCGCCAGAGAACAACCCCCCUUUGACUGUAAUUUUCCUUUACCUACCCAAAUCCUAUAAAACGGCCCCACCCUUAUCUCCCUUCGCUGACUCUCUUUUCGGACUCAGCCCGCCUGCACCCAGGUGAAAUAAACAGCCAUGUUGCUCACACAAAGCCUGUUUGGUGGUCUCUUCACACGGACGCGCAUGACACCUUCUACAUCCUAAACAUGGUUAUACCCACAGCUUUCCUCUUCAAGGCAGAUAAUUCCCUCCCCAGCCCCAGCUUACAGCAUUCCACCUUCAGGUCCCUUUAACCUGGCCUCAUCCCAGGUGUCAGGAGCCUCAGGGUGGAGCCUGACUUUGCCAGCUAGAGUGGGAGGCUAAGGAAGGUUGAUAAGCUGUUGUAGUUAUCCAUGGCUUGGGCUUCUCUCAAGAUUGCCAAGAGCUUCAGUUUUGUCCCCUGGUUUGGCAACAGGAAGUCAGCACAGGAUCUUAUCAUUGGCCAAGCUCAUUGAAUGAAUGACAGUGAAUGACAAUGCAAUUGGCAGCAGCUGGGGGUAGGUGGAAAAAUAAGAGGAGGGCAGUGAAGAGAGGUGGAGAAAGCCCUGAGCUGGGAGGUAGGACACCUGAGAUCAAACAACCCCACCCCACGUAGUCUUGAGCAUGGCACUCUCCACUGCCUUUUUGGGCUACAGUGGAGUCUCAAAGUCUUUGAAAUAUGUACCUCUCUUGAAAUUCUUUGUUCCUUGUCUCUCUUCCCUGUGAAGUGGCAAAUAUCAGAAGGGCAGCAAUAAGCUUGAUCUCAGUCACUGUUCUACCUCCAGUACCAAGUACACACAAUCAGCAUUUGAUAAAUAUGCAGCGAACAAGAGAAUCAACAGAGGAAUACUUGAAAGGAAGGAACAGGAACAUGUUUGGUAAUUUGUAAAGAACUGUGCACACCCAAGGGAGCCCUCUUAUGGAAGCAUAGUGGACCAAAGGCAGGAACAAGAAGUCAGGCUCUUAGGCUCUUCUUCUUGAGACAGCCAAGCAGAGACUGUCUACUCAGAGUGCCUUGGCCAGGCCAGCUCUUACUUCCAAACUUGGUGUUGGUCAGUGCUCUCUACAAGGGAGUCACCUGCAUUCCCUGUGAUCAGAGUUCAUGUCCAACAGUCAGCCACCGUGGGGCCCAGAAGGAAGGAGAGGCUGAAGCCUGUGGCAGCCCCAUCUACAGUUGCAUGCUUUGAGGACAAGCCGCCACUAUGGAUCUAGGGCUCCAAGGUCAACACACAUUUGUACUGCUUCCUGGAAUCCUGGCAUUUUUCUUUUAGAAUAAUGGGAGAGUGUGUGUUAAAUGUGAGGAGGAGCCAGGAGAAGAAUGCUGCUGUUCAACCCCUCCCCAGAUGGGCCAAGACAGCAUGUCUG